CAAGAGAAGAAAUUACUUCAACCGGGUUUCUGUCAAAUCGAGCCAGAUUUGCUUGAAAACCUUGAUAAUGAGAUCGUGAUAAUCAUCGGAAUUUAAGGAAAGAUAGCAGGCAAGAAGGUCUUCCAAAUCCUUUGAUGCCCUUAUAUUGUUUUCCACAAUCAUCUCCACCAUUGAGUCCCUGAAAUCCCUCUGAGGAUCAAAAGAAGAUUUCACGAUGGCCAGACUAUCUGAAAGACUCCUCCGAUAGCUUGAAUUCGAUAUUGAU
rnacentral:misc_RNA from 1 species